rnacentral:rRNA from 1 species
ACCUGGGCUUCGGCCCUGGGGACAGCGGCGAACGGGUGAGUAACACGUGGGUAAUCUGCCCUUGACGUCGGGAUAGCCCGGGGAAACCCGGAUUAAUACCGAAUAGCCUCCGGAGCCUUCGGGCGCCGGAGAAAAGGUAGCUUCGGCCUCUGGUCAAGGAUGAGCCCGCGGCGGAUUAGCUUGUUGGCGGGGUAACGGCCCACCAAGGCGACGAUCCGUAGCUGGUCUGAGAGGACGAUCAGCCACACUGGGACUGAGACACGGCCCAGACUCCUACGGGAGGCAGCAGUGGGGAAUCUUGCGCAAAUGCGGGAAACCGUGACGCAGCGACGCCGCGUGGGGGAAGAAGGCCUUCGGG